UGAAUUCAAGUGCUAUUGUAACAGGACACCUCGUUCGGGACGAGGGGGUCGGAGGUUCGAAUCCUCUCACUCCGACCA
rnacentral:tRNA from 1 species